GAUGUACUCCCUCCGUCCGGAAAUACUUGUCAUCAAAAUGGAUAAAAAGAGAUGCACCUAGAAUACGUCUAGAUACACCCCCUUUUAUCCAUUUUGAUGACAAGUAUUUCCGGACGGAGGGAGUAUAUU
rfam:Triticum aestivum genome assembly, contig: Triticum_aestivum_CS42_TGACv1_scaffold_543839_6DS